AAUGAUCAUGCAUGAAGAGUGUUUAGAAGGCAAUUAUAACUCUAUUGAAAAGUUGAGGCGAGCAGGUCCUUCAACUGGAUCUCAUCAACAUGUUAGACAGGUAAUUAUAGUUUAAAUUCUUUACUUAGAAAGUACAUGAGUUGUCUUAUCUGCUUUGGGAAAUAUCUUUCAUUCCAAAUUGCAGUGUCAUAUAGAUGCCAAAAUUUUCUAAGGAUAUACAUUGACAUUGAAGUUUGUAAUGUUCAUCCUAUUGGGAUAUCAUUGGGGUUACUCAACUUAAUACCCAAUCCCUCAUGUGGUUCAGCUUGAGAUUAGGAACAUUGUCAUGUGACAGAAAUAUGUAUAGCAGCAUAAUUGAGCAUGUAUCAUCAAUCUGUUGCAAAAUACAAGCAGUGGAACCAUUGAAGUGUCAUUUGAAGGUCUAGUAAAUCUCAUGGAAUUUUCCUGCAUGGGACUUGGUUACUUGACACUUUCUAUAAACUGCCAUCUCGUGUCUCUAAAGGAGAAAUCAUUGCAAGUAAUUUGGGAUUGGAAAUCUUUUUGUUACAGAGUAUGCCAGAACUUACAAGUGAAAUGAUUUUCAUUAGCCUGGUUUUUCCUUUAUAUUUUGUUCAUCUAUUGUGUGAUAGGCGGCAGAUAACGAUAACGAUGAUGAUGAUGACGACGACG
rnacentral:misc_RNA from 1 species